AGGCCGCUUACUGUAGAAGCUUGGAGGGAGAUCAGUUGCCAUGGAAGUUCGGUUGGAGACCACUUAUCGUAGAAGCUUGGAUGAAGUCCAUUUACAGCAGAAACUCGAAUGAAGUUUGCUUGCGGUAGAAGCUCGGAUGAAAUCGAUUGAAGCUUGGAUGAAAUUCGAAAGGCAAUCGACCACUGUAGAAACUUGGAUAAAGUCUGGUUACUAUAGAAGCACUACUGCUAGAGAAGCCCGAACAUUGACGAAGUCCAGAAGGAGCUCGAGGUAAAGUCGAUUGCGACAGGAGGAAGUCCGAGAG
rnacentral:lncRNA from 1 species